rnacentral:rRNA from 1 species
UGGGGAAUAUUGCACAAUGGAGGGAACUCUGAUGCAGCGACGCCGCGUGAACGAAGAAGGCCUUCGAGUCGUAAAGUUCUUUUAUAUGGGAAGAUAAUGACGGUACCAUAAGAUAAAGCCCCGGCUAACUACGUGCUAGCAGCCGCGGUAAUACGUAGGGGCUACCGUUGUCCGGAAUCACUGGGCGUAAAGGGUUCGCAGUCGGAAAUGCAAGUCAGUGGUAAAAGGCAGUAGCUUAACUACUGUAAGCAUUUAAAACUGAAUAUCUUGAGAAGAGUAGAGGUAAGUGGAAUUUUUAGUGUAGCGGUGAAAUGCGUAGAUAUUAAAAGGAAUACCGGUGGAGAAGGAGGCCUCCUGGGCUCACACUGACGCUGAGGAACGAAAGCGUGGGUAGCAAACAGG